GAAGAACUGCUUUAAAAUGGUGCAAUAAUUUAUGGAAACCCAAGACAAGCAAGCUUUAGGACUCUGUAUCAUCUCCCUGCUAAGAAACUGCUGCAGUCACAGAAAGGAAGAUUGAAGUCUGUAGGGAAUCCUUCAGCUGUGGACUGUGAAGUUGGGCAUCAGAAGACUAACCCCGAUCCACCACACCCUGGAGAAAUAAGCCCUUCUUGCUGGGAGAGAAAC